CUGCGGGAGCUUACGUGUUCCACGCAACCUGCGCGCCUUCACAACGGCAGGCCACACGUUAUCUGUCGGUGUAGAAUAUCUUCAGGAUCUUGGAAGCCAGCCUGAAGUUCUUCAGCAUCCUGAGGUAGUGAGGGCACUGAUGUGUCUGUUUAACAAGGCUGUUGGUGCGUGUGAUCUGAAGUCCUCUGUGAUGUGGACACCCAGGUAUUUGAAGCUGUGCUCCCUCUGCACAGCUGCCCAGUCGAUGGUGAGGGGGACGUUGUGCCUCACCUGUUUCCUCUUAAAGGCACAGUCACCCCUUUUGUCUCUCGAAUGUUCAGGAUGACAUUGUUUUCCUGACUCCCGGUUCUCUACCUUCUUCUGGUUUCAUAAUUAUUGAAGAUAUAACCCAAUUAUUUUAUUAGAUAAGUGUUAAGUAAUUUUCCUACACAUUUUGAGGUAAAUUUUGAUUCUUAUAUACAUUGUUCAUUUUAUGUUAUUGUUUUUACUAGUCUUUGGAGUUGACUGUAGGUCCAAUUAUCAUCACUCUUUAUUGUCACAGACUGCUGAGCAACACCAUACCUGCAUUAUUUAUCAAUAACCCAGGGGGAGAGGGAGGCACUGACCCCUUCAAAAUGCUUGGGGAAGCGUAAGCAGGCCCCUCUGCAUCGCAGGAACACAUGCAUGGCUGCCUCUGGUUCUGAACGAUCGAUACACCCCGUGCUAUGGGCCCUCGCGGUCUUGUACGAAGACGGCACAGGAUGAGGUCAUAACCUCUUCGCCCUUCUGACAAUCUCCUCUUUUGAACAGUGCUCUGCAAAGGAAGCCGUCAGCUUUCUCUGCUCUGAAGUAGCCCAGAUGUUAAAAAGAAUCCCCCCAGCUUCACACACUUGACAUAUCUGUUUAGAAGGCACUUAACACAACUGGAUCAGAACCAACAACCUGCUGGCUGCCUGCUGGCAUGCCCCUCUCUCUGCUGGUAAAAUUGGGAUAUGGUGGCAUGGGAACAAAACAUAUCAUCAUAAGAGUCUUCAGGAACCUUUGAUGGCAAUGAGAAUUACAUUAUAAUCAGACACACACAAUAAUUCAGGCCUUUAAGAGGAUAAUGACCACGAAAAUAUGAGUACAGCUGGAGACAGAGCACAAGGAGCAAAAUGACUUCAGAGCUGGCAGGAAGCAGAACGAGCCGGCCAGACGGCUCUUUUGGGCGCUCAUGACAGGAUAUGAUGGAAUGGUGUGGGCAAAAUAAGCCAGUUACGCUGAAGAGAAUGACUGAAGAAGAGAAGCAGGUGGAGGAGGUCACACGAUAGCCUCUGCUUACACCUAAACAAAGAGUGUUUGCGUUUGUUUGUUCCUUUUAAAUUUUGGUCACUUUUUAGUGCGAUGCUAAUUUUGCUUCAGGAGUUCACUGGGGUUUAUAUUUGGCUAUUCAGCUGACACCACAAAAUAACCAGCUACCAAGCAGGUUUCAUUGUCUUCCCGUUAUUUGUUUAGUGAAAGACCGAGUGAACGAAUUAGAGUCUGCUAUUGUUUGUGAACCUUUUUUUUCUAUUUAAAAUGACAUGAUACUAGGUUUCUGUGAAACCUUGUCUGUAGUAAAGAGGCCCUUUACACAAAACUUGCUGUUCAAACGCUGAGUAUUAUUUGUCAGCUUACACAGACAAACCUCAGAAUCAGAAUAACUUUAAUUCGCAUUUACCUGUCCAUGGAA